rnacentral:rRNA from 1 species
GACGAACUGCCCAAACGUUGUUCGGAAUCACUGGGCUUAAAGGGUGCGUAGGUGGGCAAGUAAGUCAGUGGUGAAAUCUCCGGGCUUAACCCGGAAACUGCCAUUGAUACUAUUUGUCUUGAAUACUGUGGAGGUCAGCGGAAUAUGUCAUGUAGCGGUGAAAUGCUUAGAUAUGACAUAGAACACCAAUUGCGAAGGCAGCUGGCUACACAAAUAUUGACACUGAGGCACGAAAGCGUGGGGAUCAAACAGG